ensembl:lncRNA
CCCUCUGUUCCUCAAUAUCGAGCCUUCCCACAGGUAUGAGACUGACUCUCUCCUGCUCACAGACCUGGAUGACUUGUAGAAGUACAGGGGAGGGAUUUAUACAUCAAAAAUAAGAAAACACACAGCAUUUUGUCACACAAUGUUUCGUGUGUGGGUUGCAUGAAGCUGUUGGAGGCUGAACAGAGACGUUAGACUGAUUUAAAAUGAUUAUGAACAUGGACGGGAUUGUGCUGAGGCUGCUCAUGUUUGUGGUGUGUGUUGGAGGAGCAGCAGAGUUCAGAACGCGUACAGGCGCACGAGGCGCCGCUUUCACGAGAUUAAGACGUGAGAGCAACACAGCUAAACCUGCACAUGUUGGGAAGUUGGGGUCAGAGUGCAGGGUCAGCCAAGAUGCAGUGCCCCUGAAGCAGAGAGGGUUGAGGGUCUUGCUCAAGGGCCCAACAGUGGCAGCUUGGCAGUGCAGGGGUUUGAACCACCAACCUUCCGAUCAGUAACCUAGAGCCUUAACCACUAAACCACCACUAUCCCCCCAAUGUAAGCAUAUGGAAUUGUUCUCUUUUUUUCUGAAAAUGCGGAUUUGCUACAUCAUUUGACUCACUCAAAAUACUCAUGUGUGUAUGAUG